rnacentral:rRNA from 1 species
UACGAAGGGCGCAAGCGUUGUCCGGGAUUAUUGGGCGUAAAGAGCUCGUAGGCGGUUUGUCGCGUCUGCUGUGAAAACCUAAGGCUCAACCUUGGGCUUGCAGUGGGUACGGGCAGACUAGAGUGCGGUAGGGGUGACUGGAAUUCCUGGUGUAGCGGUGGAAUGCGCAGAUAUCAGGAGGAACACCGAUGGCGAAGGCAGGUCACUGGGCCGCAACUGACGCUGAGGAGCGAAAGCAUGGGGAGCGAACAGG